AGAUUUUUCUUGUUUGUUGAGGUGGGUCUGUAUUGCUCUACACUUCCCUCCUAGAACUUCUUUUGCUGUAUGGCAUAAAUUCUGGGAUAUCAUAUCUUCAUUUUCAUUUGUCUCCAGGUAAUUUUAAAAAUUUUUC